UGAGCGCUCCCUCUGGAGGCGUGGGUCCUCUGCCUUCGCCCCAGCUCCAGGAUUUCUGCUGGCAGACCCUGGAGACUGGACUAGGAGCCCCUCCGCCUUCUAGGCCAGCGGCCUCGGCCCUUUCCCGAGUGCCCAACGCUUUCCCCGCCCCCGUGGUGACGGUGAGAGCUAUUCUUUCUGGUGCCUUCCGGAGGCCGGGGCAGGGGAGGGGAACGAGACGCCCUCUGAGAAGGCGGCUGGGUGCAGGUCGGACUCCCGCAGAGAUGAAGCGGCUUUGCAUUACCCAAAAGGAAUGUGCCCUACUUGGCCCUACCCCGCCUUCUUCCAAACUUUUCAGUAUCUCUUCCUAAUUGCUUUUGCAGGUGUAAGGGCACAAAGGAGGUUGCGUGAUUUUGGAGUUUUCCUAGAUAUUGUCCUCAGUUUGGGGAACCAGGACCUGUGGGACAGAGGUUCACGGCAGGAGUAAUACACUCAAUCAGGGUGUGUGGUCAGGCGCACCCAGCAGAUAAGACCAUGGAGCUGAUGAUAGCAGGAAUGUUGGCAGGCUCAGAACCUGAAGGCCUUGAAUGCCACUGAGGGUUUUUGAUAGCACCUAUAGGCACAUGGGGUGAGAUGUGGAAGGAUUUCAACAGGAGAAGGCAGGAUCAGCUAUGGAUGUUGGGAAAUUCUCUGAGGCUAGGGAAGGCCAGAGGUAAGAAGGUCAAGGAGGCUGGGGCAGUAGCUCAGGUGGGGAACAGAUGUAAAUGGUACUUAGAAGGAAUAGAGAGUGUUUUAGACCAGGUGCUUGGGUUCUCAGCUCUGAGAGUCUGUGGCUGGGCAGGGAACCUGGGAGGAAGAGUUGAUGUUGGAGAAAAGAUGCUGCACUCAGUGGGACAUUGAAGGGAAAAUCUUGUUCAUUUUUAAUCCCAUCCAGCCCUCCUGGCUUGGGGAGGAAUCCAGAAGACCCAGAUUCUACUAGUGUUAGCUUUGUUUUUUUGGCAGGGGAGAGGGUGCUGGGGGUUGAACCCAGAAGUGCCUUACCACUAAGCCACAUCCCCAGCCCUUUUUAUUUUUUGAGACAGGGUCUCACUAACUUGCUUAGGGCCUUGCUAAGUUGCCCAGGCUGGCCUUGAACUUGUGAUCCUCCUGCAUUUAGUUGCUGGGAUUAAAACACCCUGCACAGCUAGGUUUUUUGGAUGUGGCCAGGAUCAUCUUGGCUCCAACCUCCUCCUCCAUCAGACUGAGAAAUCUGUCUGGACCUCACCACUCUCCUGGAGUCCUCCCCAGAAAUAAAGAAAGCACAAGUUCUCCUUU